rnacentral:rRNA from 1 species
CACGCCGUAAACGAUGAGUGCUAGGUGUUGGGGGUCAAACCUCGGUGCCGCAGUUAACGCAUUAAGCACUCCGCCUGGGGAGUACGUUCGCAAGAAUAAAACUCAAAGGAAUUGACGGGGACCCGCACAAGCAGCGGAGCAUGUGGUUUAAUUCGAAGCAACGCGAAGAACCUUACCUGGACUUGACAUCCCUCUGACCGUCUUUUAAUCAAGAUUUUCCCUUCGGGGACAGAGGAGACAGGUGG